AGAACACUAGAAUAAUUUACACCAGCUCAGUGGGACAAUGAUGAGUGGCUUCCCCUGCUUGGUCCAUGGUGUUUCAUUCAAGUUGUUAGUCUUUGUAUCGUCUUCCUCACAGUAGAGCUCAACACCUUUUUUUUUAAGUUCUAUUUGUGGAUUCCUCCUCGAAACCCCGUUAUUGUGUAUAGGUUGAUAUUGUGGUGGCUAAUAGCAAUUCCUACAAUCCGCGAGUACAACUCAUAUCUUCAAGACAGAAAACCAGCGAAAAAAUUCGGCGCAUUCUGUUGGCUUUCCUUAGCUAUUUGCAUAGUAGAGCUUCUCAUUUGCAUCAAGUUUGGACAUGUGCCCUGAAGGUGAUACUGCAAUGACUAACAAUUAUGAGCGAUGUGAAAAGCCAGAUAAAAAGCCUGCUAGGCAACGGUUAUUGGUAGUUGCUAACAGAUUACCAGUCUCUGCUGUAAGGAAAGGUGAAGAUGUAUGGCAUUUAGAGAUUAGUGCUGGGGGUUUAGUCAGUGCUCUUCUGGGUAUGCAAUUCCUACUCUUCAUUUUUUAAGAUUGUUUGGUCUAUUUAUAUUUAUAUUAAGAUUGUUUACUUGAUGAUAUUAUUGCGUGUCUAACAAAAUAGUUCCCCGUAUUAAUAGU